UAAAUAGCCAGGCCAGCUUUGGCUGGUCGCCGGCUUCUUAGAGGGACUAUCGGCUCAAGCCGAUGGAAGUUUGAGGCAAUAACAGGUUGACCUACACAGGCCUGUAAAAGUAAGGGCCUCUUGAAAUAUUACUUGCUAGU
rnacentral:rRNA from 1 species